UGGCCACGCAAGUCUAUCGGGAAAUCCGCGCGCUCAACGCGCGGGCGUCCGGUGGAAACUGUGUGGCUUGGGACCGGAAGAUCCAGAGGGUACGUCUGGGGUAGGAGUGAAAUCCCGUAAUCCUGGACGGACCACCGGUGGCGAAAGCGCUCUGGAAAGACGGAUCCGACGGUGAGGGACGAAAGCUCGGGUCACGAACCGGAUUAGAUACCCGGGUAGUCCGAGCUGUAAACGAUGUCUGCUAGGUGUGCCACAGGCUACGAGCCUGUGGUGUGCCGUAGGGAAGCCGUGAAGCAGACCGCCUGGGAA
rnacentral:rRNA from 1 species